AGUUUACAAACAUGUCUUCAUGUAAUCAUUAAAUGAAAUACAAAGAAAAUAAUAUGAACUAAAAUUCUCCAAGACAAAUGCACAAUAUGACAUAACCUCUUUAAGGUAAAUCUCCAACUACUCGCGCAUACGAAGUACGACAGAAGGAAAUAAUAAACGUACCUUAAAAUUCUAGGAAAAACCACCACAGGAUGACCGAGCGAUACACAACCAAACAAACAACACCAGCCGUUGAUGAAAUGUCCAGAUUAAAAGACCCAAUCCAUCAAUUGUCCGAUGUAAUAUUCAAAACGUGCUCGCGUUGCGGGCACGGACGUGUAAAAUUAUUAAUUUUUAAUAAAUUUUAUAACUGA